AAAAGAGGCUUCUGUCGUGAGUGGCACACGUGGGGCAGCUCAACUGCUCUUCGUGCAGAAUCGACAUCAAGAGAUUUUGGAAGCAUAAUUUUUUGGUACCUGGGCAGCUGGUGAUCAUUGGUCCCAGCACCCAG
rnacentral:snRNA from 13 species